UACGUAGGGUGCAAGCGUUAAUCGGAAUUACUGGGCGUAAAGCGUGCGCAGGCGGCUUUGCAAGACAGAUGUGAAAUCCCCGGGCUAACCUGGGAACUGCAUUUGUGACUGCAUGGCUGGAGUGCGGCAGAGGGGGAUGGAAUUCCGCGUGUAGCAGUGAAAUGCGUAGAUAUGCGGAGGAACACCGAUGGCGAAGGCAAUCCCCUGGGCCUGCACUGACGCUCAUGCACGAAGGCGUGGGGAGCAAACAGG
rnacentral:rRNA from 1 species